UACGGGGGGAGCAAGCGUUGUUCGGAUUUACUGGGCGUAAAGGGCGCGUAGGCGGUAGCACAAGUCAGUUGUGAAAUCUCCGGGCUUAACUCGGAAAGGUCAACUGAUACUGUGCGACUAGAGUGCAGAAGGGGCAACUGGAAUUCUCGGUGUAGCGGUGAAAUGCGUAGAUAUCGAGAGGAACACCUGCGGCGAAGGCGGGUUGCUGGGCAACAACUGACGCUGAGGAGCGAAAGCGUGGGGAGCGAACAGG
rnacentral:rRNA from 1 species